rnacentral:tRNA from 1 species
GGUGGCUCAGAGGUAGAGUGUUUGCCUUGCAUGCAUGAAGCCCUGGGUUCGAUUCCUCAGCACCA